AGAGUUUGAUCCUGGCUCAGGACGAACGCUGGUGGCGUGCCUAAUACAUGCAAGUCGAACGAGAGCGACCGGUGCUUGCACUGGUCAAUCUAGUGGCGAACGGGUGAGUAACACGUGGGUAACCUGCCCAUCAGAGGGGGAUAACAUUCGGAAACGGAUGCUAAAACCGCAUAGGUCCUUUAACCGCAUGGUUGAAGGAGGAAAAGAGGCGCAAGCUUCUGCUGAUGGAUGGACCCGCGGUGCAUUAGCUAGUUGGUGAGGUAACGGCUCACCAAGGCCGUGAUGCAUAGCCGACCUGAGAGGGUGAUCGGCCACAUUGGGACUGAGACACGGCCCAAACUCCUACGGGAGGCAGCAGUAGGGAAUCUUCCGCAAUGGACGCAAGUCUGACGGAGCAACGCCGCGUGAGUGAAGAAGGUUUUCGGAUCGUAAAACUCUGUUGUUAGAGAAGAACAAGUGCUAGAGUAACUGUUAGCGCCUUGACGGUAUCUAACCAGAAAGCCACGGCUAACUACGUGCCAGCAGCCGCGGUAAUACGUAGGUGGCAAGCGUUGUCCGGAUUUAUUGGGCGUAAAGCGAGCGCAGGCGGUUCCUUAAGUCUGAUGUGAAAGCCCCCGGCUCAACCGGGGAGGGUCAUUGGAAACUGGGGAACUUGAGUGCAGAAGAGGAGAGUGGAAUUCCAUGUGUAGCGGUGAAAUGCGUAGAUAUAUGGAGGAACACCAGUGGCGAAGGCGACUCUCUGGUCUGUAACUGACGCUGAGGCUCGAAAGCGUGGGUAGCAAACAGGAUUAGAUACCCUGGUAGUCCACGCCGUAAACG
rnacentral:rRNA from 1 species